CUAAACUCUUAUAUUUAAAAGGUGCCGCACAAUCUUUUUUGUUUAGUGAGAGAAGGAUGAACUUUUGUUAGGGUAAGCUACUGAGGUCUUGGGACUUGCUGUAGCAGCCAGCAUCGCUCACCCUGCCCACCGCAGAAGCGGGUUUUCAGGCAGGGCGAAGGACAGUGUGGUGAGCCGGGCUGCAGGAGCAGAACUGUCACAUUUACAAGUAAAAUUUGAUUUGAAUUGAGAUCUCGAAAUCUAUACUUUUCCCAAAACAUAUAAUCUAAAAUAACUAGAUGAAAAUUCAUUUGAUUAUUGUUAUUUGCUAUCCUAUCUAACCACUGGUUUCUCAGAUGUUUAAAUUAUAUGAUAUUUAAAUGGGAGAAACAAUUUUUUUAGUUGACAGAACCAUUUUCAAAUCCUCUUACCUAAUUUAGGCACAUGAAAAUUUCCUUUUCUCUAUUUUCAAUCACAGUAAAAUUAAAGAAUUCCUUUUCCUUUUAAAACUUCUGCUUAUCUGAAGAAUGUUCAGCUUAAGGCAGCAGUAUAUUUUAUUGAGGUGUAAUUCGCACGCUGUAAUGCUUGCCCUUUAACUUGUAUAACUCAUGGCUUUCAGUAGUUCACAGAGUUGCCCACUUGUCACCACGUCCAGUUCCAGAACAUGCGUAUCACCCCAGAAGGAAACCCCGGGCCUGUGAGCGGCCACUCCCCGUCUCUGCUCCCCCAGACCCUGGUAGCCACCAGUCUACCUUCUGUCUCUGGAUUUGCCUGUUCGGGAAACUUUAUGUAAGUAGGAUCGUAGUAAAUCUGUGGCCUUUCACGUCUGGCUCCUAUAGUGUUUGCAGGGUUCAUCCGCGUUAUGACGAGGACCACUUCUUCAUUGCUUUGUACGGACCAGUAAUGCUGCGGGGUACAUAUUCAUCAUAUUUUGUUUGUUCACUUAUCAGUUAACGUAUUUGGUUGUUCCUGCUUUUUGGCAUUAUGAGUAAUGCUGCUGUGAACAUUCUUGAACAAGUUUUGUGUGGAUUUGGGUGUAUACUGAGUCAUACGGUAACUCCGUGUUUACCUCUCUGAGGAAGGGCCGAACUUCCCCACAAAGGCUGUUUCAUGAACAUUCUCACCGCCGGUGUGUGAGGUGUGUGAGGAUUCCGUUUCCUCCCCAUCUUGGCCCACACCCGUUUUUGUUGUCUGUAUUUUUUAGGAGGGUAUUGUGCUCUAUUCUAAGAGAUUUAUGUGCAUUUUCAUUGUUAUGUUCAUUUUCAUUUCUGUGAAAUAGAUACUGUUAUUGUCCUCAUUUUACAGAUGAGGAAACUGAGGCACAGAGUGGUGGUAGUGGCAUCUUGUACAAGUUUCUUAAUAUUCUUCAUUUGUCUCUGCUGUGUUCAUCUGUGAGUCCAGUACCAGCUCCCUCUUGGUUAGUUACUCAAGGUCAUUGCUUUUUAAAUUCUCUGUUUUUCUCUCUUGCAUCAUUAGUUUUUUCCCCAUUCUACUAGAUUAUUCAUAUUGACAUAUAAACAUGUUAUUUCUCUGUUCUUAAAAAA